CAAGGAGGUGAAGGCGGGGGUCCCAGUGGGCGGGAGAGGCUUGCUGUCGGUACUGGGAGGUGGGGUGUUUCCUAGACCCUGCAGGGGCUGAGGCAGGGUUGACAUCGUGAGAAGGAGACAGGAGAGGGUGGAAGGGUGUCCUGUGCCCGCUGUUGCUCACAGGGGAGAGGAGGGGCUGCUGCAGGAGGCCCUCCCCUAGGGUCGGCAGGGGGAUGGAGGAGGAGCUGCCCGGUGGGGACUCAGGAAGCAGCACAGCCCACAGCUAGGGCCAGGGGCUGAGGGGCAGGACUGGACCCUGGGGGCAGGGUGAGGGGUUCUGGGGUCAGCCCAAAAUUGGCCCACAGGCCCAGCCUGUCCGUCACUCCUGAACAAAUCUGCUUCUCUGGAGGAGCAGAAGGAGAGUUGGGUGCGGGAUAGAGGUGAGAAGAGUGCUUGGACACACAGGCUGUGGGGUCCCCAAGAUGGUCUCACGGGUCUCUGGGAUGAGAUGCGGCUACCAAGACCCUACGUGCAGCCAGGAGACUGACCAGGCCGCUUUAAGGCUGGAAGAGACAUGGCCCUGCCAGCAUCCACCUGACAGUCCUGAGGACUGUGUGACUGGGCUCAGUCUUGACCUUCACGGGAGACCACACAGCCUGGUACACAGCAGGGGCUAUGCAGUUCUGGGUCACUUGACAGCCACUCCAGACGAGGCCGCAAGCACUGGACAUGGGGUUUUCCAGCCUUCUGGGGUGGAGCCAUCUUUCUUAGGCCAGGAUUAGUCCCUCCCCACACAGUGCCUCUGCUUGUGCUAGUGGCCUGGUGACCUCCCUUAUGCCAUCCGACGUCACCCCAACCUGCUGUUCAAACUUUAUUGUUAGAAAUUAUUUAUUUCCGGCCGGGUGCGCCACCAUGACCCACCUCAUGCACGCUGCUUUUCUAAUUUAGUGUCUUAUAAUUGUGGAGCUAUGUCUUGUGAAAAGGUAUUUCCAACAAGAUUCUCUGAGAUAGUUUUCCCAUGUGCUUUCAGUGCCUCAGGGGUGGGGUAGUCCAUAGGAGCCCCUGUUACCCAUUCAGGAGUGGGUGAGGGGAGACCCCAGGGACCAAUGCCAGCAGGAAGAGGUGGGGUGGUUGGGAGGAUGGAGAUUGCACAUGCUUGGGGACAGCUUGGAGGUGCGUGUUAGAAUUUUUCUGAGAGGGGUUAAGGUGCUGUUUUGUGAAGCACAACGAGUUAGUGAGUGCUAAAUCUCCAUGACCCCUGCCGUCUAUAUGGCUUGGAUACGUCAUGUCAACCUGACAUAAAGCCAUGGGUGAACAUUCUCUGGGACCCCACCUGUGUGUGGGGAAAAGCAAGAGAGAUCAGAUUGUUACUGUGUCUGUAUAGAAAGAAGUAGACAUAGGAGACUCCAUUUUGUUCUGUACUAAGAAAAAUUCUUCUGCCUUGAGAUUCUGUUAAUCUAUGACCUUAUCCCCAACCCCGUGCUCUCUGAAACAUGCGCUGUGUCAACUCAGGGUGAAAUGGAUUAAGGGUUGUGCAGGAUGUGCUUUGUUAAACAAAUGCUUGAAGGCAGCAUGCUCCUUAAGAGUCAUCACCACUCCCUAAUCUCAAGUACCCAGGG
rnacentral:lncRNA from 10 species